rnacentral:rRNA from 1 species
CAGCAGCCGCGGUAAUACGAGGGGGGCAAGCGUUGUUCGGAAUUAUUGGGCGUAAAGGGUGCGUAGGCGGUUUGGCAAGUUUGGUGUGAAAUCUUCGGGCUCAACUCGAAGUCUGCAUCGAAAACUGCCGGGCUUGAGUAUGGGAGAGGUGAGUGGAAUUUCCGGUGUAGCGGUGAAAUGCGUAGAUAUCGGAAGGAACACCUGUGGCGAAAGCGGCUCACUGGACCAUAACUGACGCUGAUGCACGAAAGCUAGGGGAGCAAACAGGAUUAGAUACCCCUGUAGUCCCUGUCUCUUAUAC